UGGGGAAUAUUGCACAAUGGAGGGAACUCUGAUGCAGCGACGCCGCGUGAGUGAUGAAGGACUUCGUUUCGUAAAACUCUGUUCUAUGGGAAGAAAAGGACUGUACCAUAGGAGAAAGCUCCGGCUAAAUGCGUGCCAGCAGCCGCGGUAAUACGUAUGGAGCGAGCGUUGUCCGGAAUUAUUGGGCGUAAAGGGUGCGCAGGCGGCUUUACAAGUUGGAUGUGAAAUAUUGUGGCUCAACCACAAACGUGCAUCCAAAACUGCAAAGCUUGAGUUAAGGAGAGGUAAGUGGAAUUCCUGGUGUAGCGGUGGAAUGCGUAGAUAUCAGGAGGAAUACCGGUGGCGAAGGCGACUUACUGGACUUAAACUGACGCUCAGGCACGAAAGCGUGGGGAGCAAACAGG
rnacentral:rRNA from 1 species